rnacentral:misc_RNA from 1 species
UGGUUCUGGCAUCGAUGAAGAACGCAGCGAAAUGCGAUAAGUAAUGUGAAUUGCAGAAUUCAGUGAAUCAUCGAAUCUUUGAACGCACAUUGCGCCCUCUGGUAUUCCGGAGGGCACACCUAUUCGAGCGUCAUAAGUCCACUCGAGCUCUGCUCGGUGUUGGGCGUUUCGCCGCCGCAUGUCCGGCUGGCGAUGCCCGGAAGCCAUGGGCGACGGAGCCUGGUCCUUUGAGCGUGACAAUCUGAACCGCUUCUAUAGGCCAGCGCUACCGACUGCCGCACGACCUUUUCUACCCAAAGGUUGACCUCGGAUUAGGUGGGGUUACCCGCUGA